UACGAAGGGGGCUAGCGUUGCUCGGAAUUACUGGGCGUAAAGCGUGCGCAGGCGGACCGUUAAGACAGGUGUGAAAUCCCUGGGCUCAACCUAGGAAUUGCGCUUGUGACUGGCGGGCUCGAGUACGGUAGAGGGGGGCGGAAUUCCUGGUGUAGCAGUGAAAUGCGUAGAGAUCAGGAGGAACACCGAUGGCGAAGGCAGCCACCUGGGCCUGUACUGACGCUCAUGCACGAAAGCGUGGGGAGCAAACAGG
rnacentral:rRNA from 1 species